GCCCAAUCGCUGAACAAGACAAGCAGACCAAAUCAGUUUAGCACAGAUCUGCUUUGAGGAGUUCUCCUCUCAUUUGUUGUUAGUUGUAGCGUCAUAUCGAUAUAUAUUAGUAAAUCCAGUUCCUACAGUGUGGUCACCGUGGCCCUGGCCCAAUCGAUAGAGACGCUUGCUCUGUAGGCAAGAGGUUGUUUAAAAAUAAAUAAUAAUAAUACAUAUAAAGACGUUUCAAACGUUCCAUCGAGUCUCUCGCAUUCUACAAUGGGCAGCUUUAUUGUUUCCCAUGGGAGCUGGCGAAACUAGGGCCCCGUCCACACGAAGCCGAAACGGGCGAAACCGUUACGGUUUCGAUCUAUCCGGUUUCGAAGUAUCUCCGUAAAGACGAAGCCAAGCGAAACCGGGUAGACCUGUAGAAACGCUGUAGUACACAAGCCAGGCCCAUAAGGGGCGCUGCUUCUGCUACAGAAAUACAGAAGGAAAAUAAAUAAGAAAAGAGGCGAGCAUGCGCAUAAAGGGUGAGACUCCGCGGGCUUAACAGUCAUUGGCUAGAGGAUCGAAGGGGGGGGGCGAUGACGUCAUGGUUUGCGGUUUCAGUCGGUUUCAGGCGUCCACACGAAUCCAAAACGAAACCGGGUAGAUUUGAAACCACCUCCGAGGGUGGUUUCAGAAGUUUGCGGUUUCGGUCAGCGGAUUCGCCAGCUUCGUGUGGACGGAAGGCCGAACCGUACAAGACCUUUGCGGUUUCGCCAUGAAAGUGUGGAAGGGGCCUAGAUUUCUUCUUCGAAGGUUGUUCUCCACACAGAACCUCCUCACCAUCAUAACGGAUUACUUCGGGGCACCAGAAUGCUUUAGAGCGGUAAUGAUCACGUCGUGUCUUUCCAGUGUCAAAUAGUUCACAAAUAAAAUCACCAUAAGGUUCAAGUGCGGCCAUAACUAAGGCUAAAUAUAAUUAGACAGUCUAUUGCUGGUUUAGGUGGUUGGCUCUUUUUUCUUCGCUGCAUUCUGCCUUCUGGUGUAGCCUCUAACUAUAAAUGUAUCUAUUUUUGUAGGCCCUAUUUGUUUCUCUGUUUCGGGUUUCAAAAACCAACACACAAACACAAAAUCAAAUGCCGUUUAUUUGUUUAUUCCUUUUGCCCUUUUUCAGUUUCAAAACCAAAUCAGAAAAAAAAAAAAACAAUCCUGUUAAUUGUUUUUUCUGAUUUAGUUAUAAAUCGGAAUAUUCAAAGAACGAACCAUACACGGAUUCUCCUACCUCAUCACCUUGCUGACACACACAAUGUGUGGCAGUAAAGUGACAGGAUCAUUCCAUAGACAAAAAUCUUUCCAUUUAACUAAUUUAAUUUAGGAGGAUAGUCAUUGAACAGAUGUAAGUUAACCAAGUAUUCUCAUUAUAGCCUAGUUAUAUCCUAGUUUUGCAUAUUUAUACAUUGCAUCCUAUUUUCAUAUUUCAUGUGGCAUCUGUAUUUUUAUGUAGGCUACAGCAUCUGUAUUUUAAAUGUAGCUUAUAUCUUCUUUUUACAUUUUACCUUUUGCUGAGGUGGGCGCUGUAUUAGCCUACUGUAUAGGCUGUCUGUAUUUGUGUAAGAGUUGUUUGUGUUGCGUAACCUGCUGGAUUAUGAAAGUUAGUUUGGGGUAAAUAAAGUGUCUGUCUGUCUGUCUGUCUGUCUGGGGGAAAAUGCCGUGAAAAAUGUACGCACGGUGCGUUCAGGAUUAGGACUGAUAUUAUGUCGGCAUAGGCCUAAUCAAUCGGGUUUUAAUAUUUGAAGCAUUCAUAUCAGUUUAUUCUUUUCGUAGGCUACUCUGCUGUUGGCCUUGAUGGGGAGAUAUUUUUUUGCUUCCAUGCACAAAUAAUUGAAUCCAACAACAUUCCUGCAUCUCCAGAGCCCAUUUAAGCACCGUGUCAGACUCAGUAGACUGUUACAAGCCUCUGAACGUUGUUAGAGCAUGGCUCCCCAGUUCAUCAGUGUCUCUCUCUAUGGCUCCCUCUCACUCCUUUCCACUGUGUAUUUAUAUCGAUUGAACAAGAGAGGAUGUUACGAUAACUCUGCGAAAAUAAAGGCUCCAUGGCUGUAAUAAUUUAAAUAUAAUUAACUUAUAAAGCGUGUAACAAGACACCUAGAUGAUCUGGCUGGCUCACUAAAAAGGCACUGAAUUUGGAACUUAAAACACAGGAGGUCUGGCUUGCGGACUAAAAAGCAUUGCGAUCAUAAAAGCGGGACAAUCUGACAAAAGCACAAAUCUGACAAUAAUGGAUUAGAUCCGACAACCUCAUCCCUACAUAGCAAGCGCCUCUAUCGAUUGGACCACGGUUAUCACAACGUUGAAACUGCAUUUACUAAUAUAUAUAUCUAUAUGAAUAUGACGCUACAACUAACGCCAAAUGAGAGGAGAUCUGUGUUGAUCUGAUUUGGGAUGCUUGUCUUGUUCAGCGAUUGGGCGCAAACACUUCAAACGCAUUGUCUGAGAGAAAAGAAGGGCGGAGAUAUUAGCAUACUAGAGAAACGCCGUAUUUUACGGCGUUGUGAUGUGCACAAAGCGCCGUAUUUUACGCGCAGUUUGAUGUUCAAAGCGACGCUCUUUACGCGCGCUCUUGAAAGGCUCAAUUGCGGCGUAAAAUGCAGCGUUUUUUUGCGCAUGACGUCGUAUUUUACGGCGUUUUUCUACAUUUUACGGCGUUUUUUACGGCGUAAUGAAGGUGAUACACGUCUAAAUGAUGCCGUUUUCUGGCGGGGAUGGCUUGCCAUACUCAGGGAUCUGUGCACGAACUCCCUUGCACUACAUAUUACGAGCGUCAGUGUCGUACGCGAUGGAGGGUGGGUGACAUUCCUACAGUCUGUGAUGAUAGGCUAUAUUUCUACAAAUGACUUACUAUUACUAGCGAUUAACAUGACGAAACAACACGAACUAAGCUAACAUUAGACUAUAGCCAUAACAGAUAACGCCAUACCAGCUAACCCUAACUAUUUCUAUUAAACUCUGAACCAUUUUGCAACAGGCAACUGUUUGUUGGUGCGUCUUAUUGCUUCCCACGUCUGCGUCUGCGUCUGCAUCUUUCCCACUCCUGGCUAAUAGUUUCAGCUUUUGUACUGUAUAUCAGAAAUGAUCACCCUGUACCACACUGCUGACUUGUUGAUGUUUUGUGAGCACUCACGCAUUUCUCUAGGUAUCUUAAGUUUCCUACUGGAGUCAUCAAAACGUUGGACUUUGUUAUUGUAAGAAAUAUUGUGUUGCAAAAACACUUUGUGUCUUACCCUUUGUCACGACACAGAACGGGAAUCAAUAGCAGAUCAAAAAGGGUUUAUUUCCAUACAGUCCAGCGGGCAAAUCAGAUUCCAGGUACAGGCAGGGUUCGUAAACGGGCAGGCAGGCAGACAGAUACUGACGAACAGCUUCAGGCAAGAGAUCCAAAAACUGAUAGGCAGAAGGCUUAGUCCAAACAGGCAGGGUUCAAAACCGGGAAGAACAGAAACUAUAGUCUCUCUUUAAAGAGCCUCACGCUAGUCGCACUCACGUGGCAGUCGGGUAGCAAACAGUACCUAACGUGACGAUCUGACAAAGUGAGCAGAAAGGGCAGCGUUUAAAUACUCCACCAAUCAAUGCAAAAUGAGGUACAGGUGGACAGAGAAAAUGGAGGGCACAAACAAAAGGCAGGAAGUCGCCCAAAUAAGGACAUGGGUGUCACCCCGGACACAUGACCAACACAUGGCUCCAAACAUAAACAAAGUCCCGAACUAUCACACUCCAACAGGUAGGGGGAGACAAAAACAACAGUUCAUGCGAGGAUCCUGACACCCUUAGCGUUACCCUAACCUUAACCCCAGUAACAUUUCUAUAUCAUAAACUACAAGUUACGCAAGCUGGCAUGCAAACAUCCAGUCCAAUAUGAAAGAAAAAAGCUAGCUUCAUUAAGGAAUCAAACCCCUUAUCCCCGCAUUAAUGAGUUGUUCUCUGACCACUAACCCAUCAGGUCUUCGUACGUGCGAUUCAAGAGUUAACCACUUGACAAUCUUUAAACUUCGGUUGCCUAGAAAUUGUAAAGACAUGUGAUGUGUGUACAUUGUGCGAGUAUCCGUCACUUGCGAUGUGUGUGCAGUCCAAAAUGAAAGAAAAGACCUUGCAUCAUAUGGAGGUCGAUUUGUGUCUUUAUUAUGUAAUCAAAAAUAAUAGGUUUGAGAGCAAAACUUUCCACACUGCAAUCAAAAAAUAGGUUGGAGAGCAAAACCUUCCACACUGCAAUCAAAAAAUAGAUUUG
ensembl:lncRNA